rnacentral:tRNA from 1 species
CCCAUAGCUCAGUUGGUUAGAGCAAGCGACUCAUAAUCGUUUGGUCGUAGGUUCAAGUCCUACUGGGCCC